rnacentral:piRNA from 1 species
UACUUGUAGGGUAGCUCUAAAUGCACUUG